AUGCUUUCACAACUUGACUUCAAAAUAUUUGGUUUGGAGACCAUCAAAGAUCAAUAUGUGCAUGAUGCUGAUUUUAAAGAUGUAUUGCAAAAUUGUAAAGAAGGAAGAACCUGGAACAAGUUUGUCGUUAAUGAUGGAUUUGUGUUCCGUGCUAACAAGCUAUGCAUUCCAGCUAGCUCUCUUCGUCUUUUGUUGUUGCAGGAGGCGCAUGGAGGAGGAUUAAUGGGACACUUUGGCGUGAAGAAGACGGAGGACGUACUUGCUACACAUUUCUUUUGCCCAAAGAUGAGACGGGAUGUUGAGCGGGCUGUUUUGAAGAAUAAUAAGAAAAUGUGGGAAGAAUGCUUGCCUCAUAUUGAGUUUGCUUAUAAUCGUUCAUUGCAUUCUACUACUAAGAUGUGCCCUUUUGAAAUUGUGUAUGGUUUCCUACCUCGUGCACCUAUUGAUUUGUUGCCUCUUCCAUCUUCGGAGAAGGUUAAUUUUGAUGCUAAACAACGUGCUGAAUUGAUCUUAAAAAUGCAUGAGUUAACUAAGGAAAACAUUGAGCGUAUGAAUGCUAAAUAUAAACUUGCUGGAGAUAAGGGUAGAAAACAUGUUGUGUUUGCACCUGGAGAUCUUGUUUGGUUACAUUUGCGUAAGGAUAGAUUUCCUGAUUUGCGCAAAUCAAAGCUAAUGCCACGUGCUGAUGGUCCUUUUAAGGUGUUAGAGAAAAUAAAUGAUAAUGCAUAUAAACUUGAGCUGCCUGCAGAUUUUGGGGUUAGUCCCAGUUUUAACAUUGCAGAUUUGAAGCCUUAUUUGGGUGAGGAAGAUGAGCUUCCGUCGAGGACGACUUCAUUUCAAGAAGGGGAGGAUGAUGAGGACAUCAAUACCAUUGUUACACCCACAGGCCCUGCUGCUAUACAUACUGGACCAAUUACUAGAGCUCGCGCACGCCAAUUAAAUUACCAGGAAACAGACCCUCGUGGUCAGGUUGAUCGUGCUCCGGCGUGGUCGAUAACCUCUCGGAGUUGGUUUAGCGAUUGCUAA
rnacentral:rRNA from 1 species